rnacentral:misc_RNA from 1 species
GCGAGAUUAGAAAAGCUUCAAGAAUUAGCAGGCCAGCUAUCCGACCUUUGGGAUCUGAUGGAUACUCCUAAGGAAGAACGGAGUUUGUUCGAUCAUGUCACAUGUAAUAUCUCUGCAACAGUCGAUGAGGUCACUGUUCCUGGUGCUCUCGCUGUUGAUCUACUUGAGCAGGCGGAAAUUGAAGUUGAAAGGUUAGAUCAGUUAAAGGCCAGCAAGAUGAAGGAAAUAGCUAUGAAGAGACAAACUGAACUAGAAGACAUAUAUUCCCGUGCUCACAUAGAGAUAGAUUCAGUAGCUGCGCAAGAAAAAUUAAUUGCUUUGGUUGAUUCUGGGAACAUUGAACCUUCUGAAUUACUCGCUGACAUGGAUGCUGAGAUAUUGAAAGCUAGAGAUGAGGCCUUCAGCAGAAAAGAUAUACUGGAAAAGGUUGAGAAGUGGAUGUCGGCAUGUGAAGAGGAGAGCUGGCUUGAUGAUUACAACCGAGAUGAUAACAGAUAUAACUCGAGCAGAGGUGCACACCUGAAUCUGAAGCGUGCAGAAAAGGCUAGGAUAUUGGUCAACAAAAUUCCAGCUCUUGUUGAUACACUGGCAUCAAAGAUCCGGGCAUGGGAGGAGGAGAGAGGCUUAUCAUUUAUGUAUGAUGGCGUUCCUCUUUUAGCAAUGUUAGAUGAGUAUGCUAUGCUCAGGCAGGAGAGAGAGGAAGACAAACGAAGAAUGCGGGAUCAAAAGCGAUUUCAUGAGCAACUCGGUACGGAGCAAGAAACCGUGUUCGGAUCAAAGCCAAGCCCUAACCGUCCGGUUAGCCAAAAAAAGUCUGGUCCUCGUGCAAAUGGAGGUGCAGCAAAUGGAACCCCCAACCGGAGGCUAUCCCUCAACCCUCAGGGUGGCAAUGGUGUGAGAUUGACCGGCAAGGAUGGGAAGAGAGACUCGCUACCUGCAGCUCCAAUAAAUUAUGUGGCAAUGGUGAAGGAGGACACGUCCUCCUAUGUGUCUGUCAAUGAUUCAGUUCAAGCUUCACCAUGAUAUACCUCAGAUGUGUGUAUUAAUAGGAUGUGUUAUUUCAGCAAUGUGUCUACCGUUUUAGGUAGACAUGCAUUAUGUAGUGGACAUAGAGACCUG